UACGUAGGGGGCAAGCGUUGUCCGGAUUUAUUGGGCGUAAAGAGCGUGUAGGCGGCCAAGCAGGUCCGUUGUGAAAACUCGAGGCUCAACCUCGAGACGUCGAUGGAAACCGUCGGGCUAGAGUCCGGAAGAGGAGAGUGGAAUUCCUGGUGUAGCGGUGAAAUGCGCAGAUAUCAGGAGGAACACCCGUGGCGAAAGCGGCUCUCUGGGACGGUACUGACGCUGAGACGCGAAAGCGUGGGGAGCGAACAGG
rnacentral:rRNA from 1 species